CCCUUAGAUGUUCUGGGCUGCACGCGCGCUACACUGAAGCGUUCAACGAGUAUUUCACCUUGCCCGGGAGGGUUGGGUAAUCUUUUUAAAACGCUUCGUGAUGGGGAUAGAUUAUUGCAAUUAUUAAUCUUCAACGAGGAAUUCCUAGUAAGCGCGAGUCAUCAGCUCGUGCUGAUUACGUCCCUGCCCUUUGUACACACCGCCCGUCGCACCUACCGAUUGAAUGGUCCGGUGAAGCCUCGGGAUUGUGGCCAGUUCACUUCAUUGGGAGUUGGCUGUGAGAACUUGUCUAAACCUUAUCAUUUAGAGGAAGGUGAAGUCGUAACA
rnacentral:rRNA from 1 species